GUCCCCGGAGUGUGAGGGAGGCACGCGACCGUGCGAAGGUCGAGGGCCAGGUUCGACUCCUGGCGGGGACA
rnacentral:tRNA from 1 species